GCCUGGGUGGCUCAGUGGGUUAAGCAUCUGACUUUGGCUCAGGUCAUGAUGUUGUGGUUGGUGAGUUCGAGCCCCAUGUCAGGCU
rfam:Felis catus isolate Cinnamon breed Abyssinian chromosome C1, whole genome shotgun sequence.